GCCCGGGUGGCGAAAUUGGCAGACGCACCACUUUGAGGGGGUGGCGCUCGAAAGGGCGUGGCAGUUCGAAUCUGCUCCCGGGCA
rnacentral:tRNA from 1 species